rnacentral:tRNA from 1 species
GAGGAUAUAGCUCAAGUGGUAGAGCACAUGCUUAGCAUGCAUGAGGUCCUGGGUUCAAUCCCCAGCACCUCCA